AUGAUUGAUUUCACUCCCUAAAUCCAAAGCCCCCAAAUUGCGGACAACCCCCUAGCAAGAUUCAUCUUUAGAGCGGCCCUUUUUGGAAAGUGUGUGGUUUGUAAAUCUAUGAUACAAUUGAAAUAGAACCAUUGAGAGGUUUCAAAAUCUUAGACCUAUUAACGAACAAAGGGUUCCCAUUCGUGGAACCCUACCCACAUCCCAUUACUCCAAAAUUCCCACUGGAUUGAGGCAGUUGAAGCAAUUAUGUGUUGAAAAGUGAUUAUUAGAGCUCCAAUUAAGAGUGCCCAUUUGGGAUUGAGUAUUUGAAUCAUUAUAACCAGUAUUCAGCAUCUCUAUUCCUCGAUUUAAAGCCCUUUCACUAAACCCAUUAUCGCAAUCCAUAUCAAAUGUCCCUCUAAAAUAUUGCUGUGAAUUGGAUUCAUGAGUGUUAAUUUUUGUGGUAGAAAAUAAUUUAACUGGAUGGGGGCAUAGAAGUUAAUUGUAUUACACAUGGUUUGGCUGUUCUUCAAAUUCAGUGAUUCGACGACAGCCGAAGGUGGGGAGGAUGGCGACGACACCUGCUGGAAGUGAG
rnacentral:lncRNA from 1 species